UACGUAGGGGGUAAGCGUUAUCCGGAUUUACUGGGUGUAAAGGGAGCGUAGACGGUGAUGCAAGUCAGAAGUGAAAGCCCGGGGCUCAACUCCGGGACUGCUUUUGAAACUGUGUAACUGGAGUGCAGGAGAGGUAAGCGGAAUUCCUGGUGUAGCGGUGAAAUGCGUAGAUAUCAGGAGGAACACCAGUGGCGAAGGCGGCUUACUGGACUGUAACUGACGUUGAGGCUCGAAAGCGUGGGGAGCAAACAGG
rnacentral:rRNA from 1 species